UACGUAGGGGGCGAGCGUUAAUCGGAAUUACUGGGCGUAAAGCGUGCGCAGGCGGUUCGUUGUGUCUGCUGUGAAAGCCCCGGGCUCAACCUGGGAAUGGCAGUGGAAACUGGCGAGCUGGAGUGUGGCAGAGGGGGGUGGAAUUCCGCGUGUAGCAGUGAAAUGCGUAGAGAUGCGGAGGAACACCGAUGGCGAAGGCAGCCCCCUGGGCUGACACUGACGCUCAGGCACGAAAGCGUGGGGAGCAAACAGG
rnacentral:rRNA from 1 species